AUUGAACGCUGGCGGCAUGCCUUACACAUGCAAGUCGAACGGCAGCGGACCUUCGGGUGCCGGCGAGUGGCGAACGGGUGAGUAAUAUAUCGGAACGUACCUUUCAGUGGGGGAUAACGUAGGCGAAAGUUACGCUAAUACCGCAUAUUCUGUGAGCAGGAAAGCAGGGGGAUCGCAAGACCUUGCGCUGAUUGAGCGGCCGAUAUCAGAUUAGCUAGUUGGUGAGGUAAAGGCUCACCAAGGCGACGAUCUGUAGCGGGUCUGAGAGGAUGAUCCGCCACACUGGAACUGAGACACGGUCCAGACUCCUACGGGAGGCAGCAGUGGGGAAUUUUGGACGAAUGGGCGCAAGCCUGAUCCAGCCAUGCCGCGUGAGUGAAGAAGGCCUCGG
rnacentral:rRNA from 1 species